AUUGAACGCUGGCGGCAUGCUUUACACAUGCAAGUCGAACGGUAACAGGCCGCAAGGUGCUGACGAGUGGCGAACGGGUGAGUAAUGCAUCGGAACGUGCCCAGCCGUGGGGGAUAACUACUCGAAAGAGUAGCUAAUACCGCAUACGAUCUAUGGUUGAAAGCGGGGGACUGUUAGGCCUCGUGCGAUUGGAUCGGCCGAUGUUAGAUUGGGUAGUUGGUGGGGUAAAGGCUCACCAAGCCAACGACCUGUAGCUGGUCUGAGAGGACGACCAGCCACACUGGGACUGAGACACGGCCCAGGCUCCUGCGGGAGGCAGCAGUGGGGAAUGUUGGACAAUGGGCGCAAGCCUGAUCCAGCAAUGCCGCGUGCAGGAAGAAGGCCUUCGGGUUGUAAACUGCUUUUGUACGGAACGAAACGGCUCUGGUUAAUACCCGGGGCUAAUGACGGUACCGUAAGAAGAAGCACCGGCUAACUACGUG
rnacentral:rRNA from 1 species